AGUCGACGCUGGCGGCGUGCCUAAUACAUGCAAGUCGAGCGGACAGAAGGGAGCUUGCUCCCGGAUGUUAGCGGCGGACGGGUGAGUAACACGUGGGUAACCUGCCUGUAAGACUGGGAUAACUCCGGGAAACCGGAGCUAAUACCGGAUAGUUCCUUGAACCGCAUGGUUCAAGGAUGAAAGACGGUUUCGGCUGUCACUUACAGAUGGACCCGCGGCGCAUUAGCUAGUUGGUGGGGUAAUGGCUCACCAAGGCGACGAUGCGUAGCCGACCUGAGAGGGUGAUCGGCCACACUGGGACUGAGACACGGCCCAGACUCCUACGGGAGGCAGCAGUAGGGAAUCUUCCGCAAUGGACGAAAGUCUGACGGAGCAACGCCGCGUGAGUGAUGAAGGUUUUCGGAUCGUAAAGCUCUGUUGUUAGGGAAGAACAAGUGCGAGAGUAACUGCUCGCACCUUGACGGUACCUAACCAGAAAGCCACGGCUAACUACGUGCCAGCAGCCGCGGUAAUACGUAGGUGGCAAGCGUUGUCCGGAAUUAUUGGGCGUAAAGGGCUCGCAGGCGGUUUCUUAAGUCUGAUGUGAAAGCCCCCGGCUCAACCGGGGAGGGUCAUUGGAAACUGGGAAACUUGAGUGCAGAAGAGGAGAGUGAAUUCCACGUGUAGCGGUUGAAAUGCGUAAAAAUGUGGAAGGAACACCAGUGGCCGAAGGCGACUCUCUGACUGAACUGACACUGAAGGAGCGAACCCGUCGGGGCUAACCGGAUUAAUAUCCUGGUAGUCACGCCGGUACCGAUCGUGGUAGUGUAAGCGGAUUCCCCCCUU
rnacentral:rRNA from 1 species